UUCCGUUCCGCCGGGGCAACUACAGCGCGGACAACAAGCGGACUUACUAUGGCUCUCCACUCGGGACUACCCAAGUGCAGGGCCCCGCGGGCGAGGGCGGGAGCGAGGUGUCUCCCUGACCCAGGUCCCGUGAGUCGCCCGGCCGCGGCCUCGCGACUCGCAGUAACUUGGUCACGUUCCCACCCGCGGCCGAGACCCGGACCCAGACGGCGAGCACCCGAUUACCUGCGCCCACCGCAGUGCUCCCCGCGCUGUUGCGCGUCACACCCGGCUCUCAGACACUGGCUCCGGGACACCGGCUACGCAACCACCCCCCUCCCGGUGACUGCUGGCCCAGGAACCCACGUUCGGGCAGCCCACACACCACCCGGCGUCCAGGACAUCCUCACCGGAAGUUGAUUUCUACCUAGGCCCGCCCAGGCCUGCGCGCGGCGCUCCAGGCAUCCGCGGGCGCAUCACAUGACCCCCCAAGAGGAGGCCAGCUGAGCCUCAUCUGAAGAGAGACCUGACCUGUGAAGUGGAUUGACCUGAUAUACACUGGCCUGACCAUCCUCAAAAACUACAUCAUGUCUUUAUCUUUUGUCCUGAGCCAAAACAAACUAUUCAACAGAUAUUCCUCCUAACAGAGAUUCAGCUGGCUAGGCCACAAGAAGAACCUCCUAGUUGAGUGAUUCUCAGGUAAUUGACUCUGCUAUAGAUUGGCUUCGACUUAACGCUUUUCCUGACCUUUCUCAAGAUCUACCUCCUAGUAAAGGUUCUCAAUCUCUCUUAGUGACAGGCCCAUAAAACCACCUACCAAAUCUGAAUUUUUCUUCUGUCCAGAACUCGAAUCUACCACGAGAAGAGCCUUUGCCUCUUACAAACAACCAAAAUGUGAGAACUGAAUAAAGCACCCGGCACUAUGACAUGCUCAAGAAAUGUUUGACGUGAUGUCUGGACCUAUCGGCUUAGCGGAACUCUCAAGUUCCUGAACGUGCCCAAGCUGAAAGCUUCUCUAAACCACUGGAUUUUAAAGAUCUUCAGCGCUAGGACUGUAGCACUUGUAAUCAACUCUCUCAUAGCAGUUCGUUCAUAUUCCACUAAAAACAGUUGUUUUUUAGCUGUUCCACAUCCUUACAGCAAAGCUGUCAGUCAACAUCUUUUCCUGAAGGGAAUAUGCCAUACACUUGGUAGGUUUUUGUUUGAAGGGGAGAGUAAUUGUGUAGACUGUCGUGACUGUUACAUAGAAAUGGUCAACAGGUAGCACACUUCUCAGAUGGUUUAGACAACAUUCACUUAAUUUUUAUUGAACGUAUACCAUUUACUUGGAACUAGUCAAGUGGUAACAAUCUGGGAAUGAACCAAAUAUAUCCAAGAUAUUUUACUGCCUAGUGCCCUGAUCGUUUGAAUGUGAGUCUGUGGACAACUUCUAAUCUUCACACAGAGAGCAUUAUUGGGAAUUGCUUUUCUCUUCCUUCCACUGAACAAAAUUGACUGAACUAUCUUUAAUCUCUGUACUGAGUGGGAAGUAUCAACAGGAUCUUGACAUGCCUUCACUGAGCUGGGCAACUUGAAGUCCUUAGUGAACAACUAAUACUGAGCAGGUCACCUCUUCUGACCUUUUCCAUCCUGCCCAUUCUUUGCACAAAUAAGUUGUAUUUCUCUUAUAGAAAUUUGAUGCUUCCUUACACACAUAUACUUUUUUAAUUUCCAGUUGAGCACCAAGUCAAGGACCACUUCUUUGUAUACUCAGCAAGCUGUUUCCCAUUUCUCCUUUACAUCUAGUCUAGUAGUCAAGAAAGUGGAAAUACAUUCAAUAAGCAUUUCAUAAACUGAUAGUCAAUAUCUAUGUGUCACCUUAUCUUUUCUCUUUGUGCUUGAAAUUUUAAUGCCUUUGGGUUUCCAUCGAAACAUCUGACCCAACAAAAUGACCGUUUAUCCCUACUGCCACC
rnacentral:lncRNA from 1 species